rnacentral:lncRNA from 1 species
CUGAGGCCUCUCAGCUUCUCAGGAGGAAAAAUCCUAAAGAAAGGGUUUUUCGUGAAAAAUGUCUGCGACAGGGGGGCACAGCACUCCCCACGGUCUCGCACUGCUGGCACCCCAUCACUCACCCGCUCCGUUGUCCCCAGUGAAGGGAAGGACCAACCUGAAGAUCAACGAGAAGUACCUGUCCUCGGACGUGUUCGGAGCCGCCGCCAGGUGCGCCGGGGCCCAGUCGGCCGCCUCCUCCAAAGUGCUGUCCCCGAGCCGCUCCAACUCCAGCCUCAGCCUCUACAGCAGCGCCUCGGCCCCCAGCAGCCCCCUGGCCAGGAAGUCGGUGCUGCGGAGGACGCGCUCCGGGGACCGUUGUCCGCGCUCCCGGGGCUCGGGGCUGCCCGACGGAGCCGAGCUGCAGUUCAGCGCGGCUGAGGAGAGCCUGCCUGUGGCACCGCCAGAGCCGCCCGAGGGGUCCCCUCCGGAGCGCUGCAGCCCCUGCCGCUGAGCCCCGCGCCCGCCCUGCGCCCAGCACCCUCGGCCGGCCCCACUCAGGACCCUCCUGCACGGGGCCGCGCCCCCCGCGGGUCUCCGGCCCGGCGCUGCGGCCCCCCGAGCGGGGCUGAGCUGGACGGCCGGCACCGACCGCGCCGCCGGGGCCCGUUCCAGAGGAUAUGCAAGCAUCACCUCCCGACGCCCAGCGAGCCCCCGGGCUCCGCUCCGAGCGCCCGGGGCUGCGGGACCAGCCGGGCACCCCCCGCCCUCCUCCCGUGCCCCCGGUACCCCCGGCACCGGGCCUCGCUCACGGGGGUGCCCACGGGGCCUCCCCCGCCCCGGCGGGAGGCGGCCGGGCUCGGUACCCGGCACCGGGAGCCCCCAUUCUGGUGCUAACCCUCACUCCUCGGCCUUGGGGGUGCUCCGGCCGCCCCCUGCCUCGGGGUCCAGUCCCGUCCCGCCGGCGGCACCGGGGGCAGCGGGACCCCCGCCCCACCGCCGCAUGCCCGCGCCACCCCCGCUAACCGGAGAGCAGUAGAGCUGAAUGUAACCCCGGCCGGGCGCGCCCGCCGCCACAAUAAACUGUAGUGAGG